AGGGGGCGUGGGGAAGUCUGCAGCCGAGAGUCCAGAGAGGAGGAAGCUCCUGCCGGCUGAGCGGGCCUGGAGGAAGUGAGCAGCGGGGCUCCUGCCUCCCGGCCUGGUCCCCGAAGACCCCAGAAGAACCCGGAACUUGCUUCCAUUCGGAAUCCAGGGACCACCCUUUGCACUCAGUAGGCCUUUGUUUUCCUGCGUGGAAAGCGGUUGGGCUUGGGAGGCGAUGGAGCCGGAGUUCUUGUACGACCUGCUGCAGCUCCCCAAGGGGGUGGAGCCCCCAGCGGAGGAGGAGCUCUCAAAAGGAGGAAAGAAGAAAUACCUGCCACCCACUUCCCGGAAGGACCCCAAAUUUGAAGAACUGCAGAAGCACACCUGGCCCAGCCCUGUGACUGGCACUGGGGACACCAUCUGUGGUCUUGCCCGGAAGACCUGGUGAGGUGCUGACAUGUCGUCUCAGCUCGGUCUCCUCCACAGGCUGAUCCAGAGACAAGGAUUUGGAUGCCAGUAGUUGAGUUGGGAGGUUAUCCCAGGGGUCAUGGGAGGGAAGGGGCCAACACAUGGUUAGUGAUGGAGCUGGUCAUGGUUCUGGGGGCUCAAGCCUGCUGGGUACCCUGGAGCCAGCAUAGAGCAAGUUCAGUGCAUUCCUGCCCAAGGGGCGAUGGAGCUGGGGUAUUUAUACACCACCACCCCUGCCCCGACAACCUCCUGACAACCUUUAGUGAACAGCUGCUCCCUGAGAAAGGGCUGGGCCUUGAUUCCCUGGCACUCUGACCUUUUGAGCACAGCAGAGUGGGGACAGUUUCGAGCAGAGCUGCAGGUGGGAGCUGGGCCAGUAGGCAACAGUCAAGGAGUGGGCAGGGUACCAGCAGCCCCCGCAUUAGCUUCCUAGGGCUACUGUAACAUGUGACCACAGACUGAAUGGCUUAAACCACAGAAACCUACUGUCUUACAGUGCUGCAGGCCAGAGGCCCUCAACCAAGGGGUCGGCAGGCUUGGCUCCUUCUGGAGGCUCUCAGGGGACCCCUGUCUUCUCCCUUUCCCCCAGCUGUGAUGGCUGCAGCAUCCUGGUCUCCCAGAUCUGUGGAUGCAUCACUGCAGUCCCCACCUCCAUCUUCACGUCCAAUGUCAUGUCCCUCAUUUCCUCCUAGGACCUCAGAA
rnacentral:lncRNA from 1 species